GGAGCCCCGCUUCAUCUCCGUGGGCUACGUGGACGACACGCAGUUCGUGUGGUUCGACAGCGACGCCGCGAGUCCGAGAGAGGAGCCGCGGGCGCCAUGGAUAGAGCAGGAGGGGCCGGAGUAUUGGGACCGGAACACACAGAUCUGCAAGACCAACACACAGACUUACCGAGAGGGCCUGCGGAUCCUGCGCGGCUACUACAACCAGAGCGAGGACGGGUCUCACACCUGGCAGAGGAUGUAUGGCUGCGACGUGGGGCCCGACGGGCGCCUCCUCCGCGGGUAUGACCAGUUCGCCUACGACGGCAAGGAUUACAUCGCCCUGAACGAGGACCUGAGCUCCUGGACCGCCGCGGACACCGCGGCUCAGAUCACCCAGCGCAAGUGGGAGGCGGCCCGUUGGGCGGAGCAGUUCAGAGCCUACCUGGAGGGCCGGUGCGUGGAGUCGCUCCGCAGAUACCUGGAGAACGGGAAGGAGACGCUGCAGCGCGCGGGUACCAGGGGCAGUGGGGAGUCUUCCCCAUCUCCUAUAGAUCGCCCGGGAUGGCCUCCCACGAGGAGGGGAGGAAAAUGGGAUCAGCGCUAGAAUGUCGCCCUCCCUUGAAUGGAGAAUGGCAUGAGUUUUCCUGAGUUUCCUCUGAGGGCCCCCUCUGCUCGCUAGGACAAUUAAGGGAUGACGUCUCUGAGGAAACGGAGGGGAAGACAGUCCCUAGAAUACUGAUCAGGGAUCCCCUUUGACCCCUGCAGCAGCCUUGGGCACCGUGAAUUUUUCUCUCAGGCCUUGUUCUCUGCCUCACACUAAAUGCGUUUGAAGGUCUGAUUCCAGCUUUUCUGAGUCCCUCGGCCUCCACUCAGGUCAGGACCAGAAGUCCCUGUUCCUCCCUCAGAGACUAGAACUUUCCAAGGAAUAGGAGAUUAUCCCAAGUGCCUGUGUCCAGGCUGGUGUCUGGGUUCUGUGCUCCCUUCCCCACCCCAGGUGUCCUGUCCAUUCUCAGGGUGGUCACAUGUAUGCUGGUGGAGUGUCCCGUGAGGAGUGCAAAGCGCCUGAAUUUUCUGACUCUUCCCAUCAGAGCCCCCAAGGACACACAUGACCCACCAUCCCAUCUCUGACCAUGAGACUACCCUGAGGUGCUGGGCCCUG
rnacentral:sRNA from 1 species